UAGACCCGAAACCCGGUGAUCUAGCCAUGGGCAGGUUGAAGGUUGGGUAACACUAACUGGAGGACCGAACCGACUAAUGUUGAAAAAUUAGCGGAUGACCUGUGGCUGGGGGUGAAAGGCCAAUCAAACCGGGAGAUAGCUGGUUCUCCCCGAAAGCUAUUUAGGUAGCGCCUCGUGAAUUCAUCUCCGGGGGUAGAGCACUGUUUCGGCUAGGGGGCCAUCCCGGCUUACCAACCCGAUGCAAACUGCGAAUACCGGAGAAUGUUAUCACGGGAGACACACGGCGGGUGCUAACGUCCGUCGUGAAGAGGGAAACAACCCAGACCGCCAGCUAAGGUCCCAAAGUCAUGGUUAAGUGGGAAACGAUGUGGGAAGGCCCAGACAGCCAGGAUGUUGGCUUAGAAGCAGCCAUCAUUUAAAGAAAGCGUAAUAGCUCACUGGUCGAGUCGGCCUGCGCGGAAGAUGUAACGGGGCUAAACCAUGCACCGAAGCUGCGGCAGCGACGCUGAUGCGUUGUUGGGUAGGGGAGCGUUCUGUAAGCCUGCGAAGGUGGCCUGUGAGGGUUGCUGGAGGUAUCAGAAGUGCGAAUGCUGACAUAAGUAACGAUAAAGCGGGUGAAAAGCCCGCUCGCCGGAAGACCAAGGGUUCCUGUCCAACGUUAAUCGGGGCAGGGUGAGUCGACCCCUAAGGCGAGGCCGAAAGGCGUAGUCGAUGGGAAACGGGUUAAUAUUCCCGUACUUGGUGUUACUGCGAAGGGGGGACGGAGAAGGCUAUGUUGGCCGGGCGACGGUUGUCCCGGUUUAAGCGUGUAGGUGUGUGUUCCAGGUAAAUCCGGUUCACUUUAACACUGAGGCGUGAUGACGAGGCACUACGGUGCUGAAGCAACAAAUGCCCUGCUUCCAGGAAAAGCCUCUAAGCAUCAGGUAACAUCAAAUCGUACCCCAAACCGACACAGGUGGUCAGGUAGAGAAUACCAAGGCGCUUGAGAGAACUCGGGUGAAGGAACUAGGCAAAAUGGUGCCGUAACUUCGGGAGAAGGCACGCUGACACGUAGGUGAAGUGAUUUACUCAUGGAGCUGAA
rnacentral:rRNA from 1 species